AAGGGCUCCAUAUGAGAGCCUAGCAAACCUGAUUACCAUAUCACAUCUUUUACUGGUACAGAGGAGCGAGCCCCUGAACUUUCCUACCAACUUGCCCAGAGGAUGGGCACCGUUAGAAGAGGAAAGGAUGUAGUUUAAAAAGCCAUCAUCAAUUGAAACAACAAAAAUGGAGGACUCGGAUUCUGCAGAAAACACAUCCUGAGACACAACCCCAAUUAACUCCGCAUGUUUGUGGUGAUGACUGAGCAAGAAGAGAUCAUGGGAAGUUGACAAGUCUGGACUGAAUCAAGAGAAUCAGCAUAAAUCUCAACCGAUGCCUAAUUUUAGAGAUGUCUGGUCCUCUAAACGCGUCUUUGCCACAGCCAGAUGGGGUGGGAGACAACAUUGGAGGGUGGAAACGAGAGAGGUGCCAAACUGAAGCUCAAAAGGUCAGAGCAUCUACCAUUUUGAAGCCAGUGCAUGACAGACGGUGUGAAGAAGGCCAUCAAGAUACUCCCAUGGCCUUUGUGCCCCUCAAGAUACUGCUUCUCCUAUGCAUUUUGCUCUGGUGAUGGUGGACCUCAUCAUACACAUGCCGUCAUCAUUCCUAAAUAUAGAACUAAGAAAAUAAGAACUAGGAGGGAUUUCCAGGGGUGUCACAUUCAGCAAGAGUUACUUGUCUCACUCCAGGGCUGGAACUGCCUACCAGGUGAGAUCACUUCCUGUCUACACUCUGCUUCCUCCAUUGUCCUCUCAACACAUGAGCUUGGACACUCAGUCACCUAUCACCAUUGUAAGUCUUUUUUCUUCCAUUUUCACGGGCUCUG
rnacentral:lncRNA from 1 species